rnacentral:rRNA from 1 species
CUUUAAAUUGAAGAGUUUGAUCAUGGCUCAGAUUGAACGCUGGCGGCAGGCCUAACACAUGCAAGUCGAGCGGAAACGAGUUAUCUGAACCUUCGGGGAACGAUAACGGCGUCGAGCGGCGGACGGGUGAGUAAUGCCUAGGAAAUUGCCCUGAUGUGGGGGAUAACCAUUGGAAACGAUGGCUAAUACCGCAUGAUGCCUACGGGCCAAAGAGGGGGACCUUCGGGCCUCUCGCGUCAGGAUAUGCCUAGGUGGGAUUAGCUAGUUGGUGAGGUAAGGGCUCACCAAGGCGACGAUCCCUAGCUGGUCUGAGAGGAUGAUCAGCCACACUGGAACUGAGACACGGUCCAGACUCCUACGGGAGGCAGCAGUGGGGAAUAUUGCACAAUGGGCGCAAGCCUGAUGCAGCCAUGCCGCGUGUGUGAAGAAGGCCUUCGGGUUGUAAAGCACUUUCAGUCGUGAGGAAGGUAGUGUAGUUAAUAGCUGCAUUAUUUGACGUUAGCGACAGAAGAAGCACCGGCUAACUCCGUGCCAGCAGCCGCGGUAAUACGGAGGGUGCGAGCGUUAAUCGGAAUUACUGGGCGUAAAGCGCAUGCAGGUGGUUUGUUAAGUCAGAUGUGAAAGCCCGGGGCUCAACCUCGGAAUAGCAUUUGAAACUGGCAGACUAGAGUACUGUAGAGGGGGGUAGAAUUUCAGGUGUAGCGGUGAAAUGCGUAGAGAUCUGAAGGAAUACCGGUGGCGAAGGCGGCCCCCUGGACAGAUACUGACACUCAGAUGCGAAAGCGUGGGGAGCAAACAGGAUUAGAUACCCUGGUAGUCCACGCCGUAAACGAUGUCUACUUGGAGGUUGUGGCCUUGAGCCGUGGCUUUCGGAGCUAACGCGUUAAGUAGACCGCCUGGGGAGUACGGUCGCAAGAUUAAAACUCAAAUGAAUUGACGGGGGCCCGCACAAGCGGUGGAGCAUGUGGUUUAAUUCGAUGCAACGCGAAGAACCUUACCUACUCUUGACAUCCAGAGAACUUUUCAGAGAUGAAUUGGUGCCUUCGGGAACUCUGAGACAGGUGCUGCAUGGCUGUCGUCAGCUCGUGUUGUGAAAUGUUGGGUUAAGUCCCGCAACGAGCGCAACCCUUAUCCUUGUUUGCCAGCGAGUAAUGUCGGGAACUCCAGGGAGACUGCCGGUGAUAAACCGGAGGAAGGUGGGGACGACGUCAAGUCAUCAUGGCCCUUACGAGUAGGGCUACACACGUGCUACAAUGGCGCAUACAGAGGGCAGCCAACUUGCGAAAGUGAGCGAAUCCCAAAAAGUGCGUCGUAGUCCGGAUUGGAGUCUGCAACUCGACUCCAUGAAGUCGGAAUCGCUAGUAAUCGUGGAUCAGAAUGCCACGGUGAAUACGUUCCCGGGCCUUGUACACACCGCCCGUCACACCAUGGGAGUGGGCUGCAAAAGAAGUAGGUAGUUUAACCUUCGGGAGGACGCUUACCACUUUGUGGUUCAUGACUGGGGUGAAGUCGUAACAAGGUAGCGCUAGGGGAACCUGGCGCUGGAUCACCUCCUUA